CAGAAUUUCAGCAUUUGCUACUUACUGGUAGAGAAGAAAAAUCCCACAGCCCUGCCAGUACAGUUUAAUCUGUAUAAGAAAUGGCGUAGAUACAGUGGAAAUGGUUUUCCUUAAAACCAUCUCUUUAAAGCUGCUUUUCUGAUAAGCACUACACAAAGUGUGGACCCUCAAUUUAUGUCUUUAAGAUUUAAAGUGAAGUAAAUUUCUAUGGAACUCUGUCCUUUCCUAGCAAGGAUAAGCAGACACUGAAAAUUUGGAAUUGGAGUGCCUUUGAUCUUCACUGAUGAGAGUUUCGUUUUGGACUCCACAUCUCUUCAGAAGCAUCCAGUCUACCACCAGAUCACCAGACGCUGUCACCAUUUCCUCAGUGCCACUGUUGUCCUGGUGAUGUGGAGUAGUAGGAUUCAGGAACGUUGGUUGGCUGGAUGAUAUCUUCAGGUACAUUUUUGAGAAGAAGUGUACAUAGCUGGUGUAUUUCUUGACUCUUUGCAUAUUUGAGAACAUUUUUCUGUUGCCUUCAAACGUGAUCAACAGUCUGGAUAAAGAAUUCCCAUCAAUAUUCUGUAAGUUUUGUACCUACUGGCAUGUGAUGUAGCUAAGAAGGAGACCAAAGCCAGCUUUUCCCCCACACCCCUCCUUUAUAGAUAAAUUUACUUUUGUCUGUACUUUUAUAUGAUUUAUUUUUAAUCCUUAAAGUUCACUACCUUAACUAGGAAUUACGUUCCUGUUUGCCGUUUUUUUUUCUUUUUCCCUUGGUAUAAGAUGAACCUGUGACGUACUUACACACACAAAAGGAAGUUAGAACUGUUAGAGUUCCUGUCCAAUCCUUGGAGCACUUUUUAGCCAGAUUGAAGGGGAGGUAGGUUCUGCUUCUAAGGCUCAAGAGUAGGGAGAUGGAAAAAUCUCUGCCAUUAGAAGAAUCUCCUGGCUUCCUGGAGGGCUCUGAGAAGUAUUGAGAAUUAUUUUGAAGCCAACUAGGCUUAUUGGGAAAGAGUACUGUGAUUGGUUAGUGAAGUCUGCCUCAGGUGAGGGAGAAUAUAGUACUACCUAAUAUGCCAGGUCACUGACAUCCCUGCUCUCCCUAAGAGCUAUCUUAGAUUGUCCUCAUAAGAAAAUUAGGGACAUUUUUGGAGACCAGUGAGGGCCCUUUAAAUCCAAUGAUGCCAGCCAAAGGCAGCAGAAACCCCAAUGCUGCUAACACUCCAGACUCCAGAGAGCUGGUGCUGCUCUCACUAUGUUACUUAGCUCAGAAGCUAUAGAUAACCUCCUAUGGCCAACAGGAUGAUGUCCAAACCCCUCCUUAGCCUAUCAAGGUCUUCAUGUUCCUUCAUGCUCUCUUUGACAGAUGCUGUGGUGCAGUUACCCCAAACUAAUUUUUAUUCCCUGUACAUUUCUAUAAUCUUUUCUUAGCACUUGUCUACUUUGCCAUGGUAUAUGAAAUGCACUUAAAGAAUUAGAAUGUUCAAGUUGAAAGAAUCAUUAGAUAUCCUGUCAGUGCCUCCCAGUCUUGGGUAUACAUCAGUCACUUGGAGAAUCCCUAAAGCUUUUUUACUUUAAGAGGUCUGGGGAACAGAUUUGGCAUGUGUAUUUUUAUUUUUCAAAUUUUAUUUCUGUAUACUAUGCUUUAGUUUUGGUCAUAUGUAUGUUUGUAAUAGUGCAGUAGUGAAUAGUUUUUAUUAUUUGUUGUUUGUUACACUUUUCUAUGUUGCUACAGUAUCCACAAUUACUGUCAGAAAGGCUGCAUAAUAAUUUGAGUUAUUUACCCGUUUCUUGAUUGUUGGUAAGUUGUUGCCUAGAUUUUACUUUUAUAAAUGACUCUACUGUGACUGUCUUCUUGCAUAUAGCGUAUGUUUUGUUUAUUUUUAAUGAACCAUACUGGACAUUUUACAUAAGAAUAACCUGAAGCCUAGAGAGGUAAGUGUCUUGCUUCUUGUGCACAGUUAAGGAAGAGUAAAGCUUGAACCUGAUCUUCCGAUUCCUGGUGCAACACGCCUUCCACCACCCAUACUUUUUACACCUUGUCCUUCAUAUCCUUUCUCUGUACAACCAGAUCCUAUCCAUCUGACAAAAAUUUGUGUAAAUAUCACUUGCUUCACAAAGCCAUUCCUUGCUCACCCACUUGGAAGAAAUUUGUCUACUUGAAUGUCCUUAAUUAUCUACAGUCCUUUUUUCCUUUUUCACUUUUGACCUUAUAUUAUAAUUCCGCUCUUUAUGUCUUAUCUCCCUUACCAGAGGCAAUAUGCAUAAUGGAUAGGAUUUGGGGCUCUGGGUUGGAGUUCUAAUUACAGCACCAGAUCCUAGCUCUGUGAACUUGGGCAAGUUACUCAACCUCUAAGCCUGAGUUUUCUCACCUUUAAAAUGGGAUUAAGUGAAAUACUAAUAUAAAACACCUAGUAUAGUAUCUGGCACACAGCACAUAAUUUAUUUUAAUUUUUUUGUUAAUAAUAUUGCUUUUAUUAACAAUGUAACUCAUGGUAAGCUCCUUGAGAACCAGAUCUAGUGCUUAAUACAGGGUUUGGGUCCAUAGUGUGGGUUCCAUAAAUAUUUGAUGAAUAAACAAUAACAUUAAUAUUUAAGGUGUGUCACCUUCCCAAAUACUUAAAAGAAGCCCUGGGUAAAUGUUUAAUAUGACACUGCUGGUACCCUUCCAGGUAAUAAUUCAAACUCACCUUACCAGUAGCCAUUCUGACUAGCUAGUACCUUGUCCAUAGUGCUUAACCACUCAGAACUCAGCACCUUGGAGUAUGUCUGUUUUAAUUGCGCAUUUCUGGUCUAGACACAACCUUUGUGAGGCCAACUCAUGAAAAUUUUAUUUUCUGGCAUUGGUGGGAAGAAACCUUUAUUUAAAAGUUGAGAUUAUUACAUACGGAUUUGUUUUUGUAAUUUAGUGAUCAAUCUCUUAGUUUUACUUGACCAAGAAAUUUGGAUCUGAAGUAGAUUUUUUUUUGCUGUUUUUUGAAAAAGUUAAUAGUACUAUUGAGUCUAGGGUACAUUGUUUUAAAGUUUUACUAUUUUUAAGGUAAUUGACAGCUAGGAGAAAAGGGAAUGAACUUGUCUUUAAUAAUACCUUGAAUUUAUAUUCAUAUCUCUGUAUGCAAAUUGCUUCUUUCUUGAGGAGUUAGGCAGGUUCCUAUAGUUUGCUGUUUGUGAAUUAAUGUCCACUUACAAUACUAAAAAAUAGAACUAGAGCACAGCACUAAAAUAUCUAAAGUUUAAUUUCAUGAAUCUUCAUCCAUGUUGGUGAUAGGUCUCAUGCUCUGAAUGUAUGGACUUACACGUAUGGCUCCUUGUCUGACGUGGGUCCCUUAUCUCCACUGCUGGAGCCAGGCAGUCUCAACCACAAACCCAGCUAAACCUCAGGCUUGGGACUGACUUCCUCCAUGCCCUCAUUUGUUGAACUCAUUCUGACUUUAGUGUGUUUUAGUAUUGGAGCACUUGUCUUAUUUCCACCUUCUCUGCCAUAUUCCAGUUUUCAGAACUUGACCCUCUUUCUGGGACUACCUGACACCUAGUUCACUGGGGACUGCUUUGCUCUCACCACUGCUGUGAGUCCCAGCCCAUGAUGCUUCCCCAUCUGCUGCCCAUCUUCUCGUGUGUUUCUUAAUGAGUUGCUCAACUGCCCCAGUUUCCAUGUAUAACAAAGGUCAGAGCAGACCAGAGACACAUAGAUGAAGCAAACUAAAUUGAUAUUUGUGCACCUCCUGCCCCACACAGGACUGGCUCCACUGCGCUACUGCAGGGGAACAGCUUCCAUUUCAUUUCUGAUGAGACAUUUCUACCAAGUAUUGCAUCACUCUUUUCUAACAAGUUCAUUAGAUAUGACUAAGUAUUUGUUUCACUUCUUCUUUUAUGGUUCCAGUGAAUCCAUAGACCAUUUUAGGAUGUGGGCAAACAACUGGUUGAAAUGUGAAGCUUUUUCCAGUUCCCGUGAUCAGCAUUUGGCUCUUUCUCCUCUUUGCAUCCAUAACUCCACUUUUUAUUUGCCUCUGUUAUAGUAAAGAGAGUAAAUGUUAAAAUUGUUAAAGCUUUUUUUCUGCUUACAAAAUACAUUAUCAUUUUUUAAAAUGUAUAAAUAAGUUAUUCUGACUGAGAUAUUAAAGUGAGUUCAUGCUUCUACACAAUUCCUCUGCCUCAAACACUUAAUAACAGGUAAAAUGGUUAAGAUAAAAGCAGAUAUAUUUACGUGACUAAAAAUAGAAGAGAAAGCCCUCAUGGUGAGUGGGAACUCGGGCUCUGGGUCUAGAACCAGGGUGGCCAAGACCAUGACCUCUGUUCGUAAAAAUUUUUUUGAGAGCUCCAUGACCAAGGCAAAGGAGCUAGGAAUAGUGAUCAAAGCCAGGGCCUGGGAUGGGUGUCAGUUUGUGAAAGCAGGCUGGUAAAACUGUUGACUUUUGGCCUGGGACUGCUGCUUUAUAAAAAACUGGGCCCAAUGAGAGUAGAUGAGAAAAACAUGGCUUUUGGGUUUUUUAAAACCAAAAACAAGUAGCCUGUUGACUCAGUAGCUGGAUCUGUGAUUUAAGGGUAUCAGAGUAGGCUCAAAACUUUAAGACCUAGUUCUUGGACUUCCCUGGUGGCGCAGUGGUUAAGAAUCCACCUGCCAAUGCAGGGGACACGAGUUCAAGCCCUGCUCUGGGUAGAUCCCAUAUGCUGGGGAGCAACUAAGCCCAUGCGCCACAACGACUGAGCCUGCCCUCUGGAGCCCACAGGCCAGAACUACUGAAGCCUGCGCGCCUAGAGCUCAUGCUCAACAAGAGAAGCCACGUCAAUGAGAAGCCUACGCACCGCAACGAAGAGUAACCCCGCUUGGCUCAACUAGAGAAAUCCCAUGUGCAGCAACGAAGACACAACACAGCAAAAAUAAAUAUAUAAAUUUUUUAAAAAAAGACACUACUGUAUAUACAAAGGGCCACCAAUUACUAUGUCAGCUGACUUCUCAUCAGCAACAAUAGAGGCCAGGAAACAAUGUCUCAAAUGCUGAGGGCAUAUAUAUUGACCUAGAACUUUAUCCACAGCUAAAAUAACAUUCAAGAAUGACUAUAAAUUAGAAACGUUUUUAGACAUGAGUUUAGUACAGAACCUCACUUAAAAAUUAUUAAAAGAGGGCUUCCCUAGUGGUGCAGUGGUUAAGAAUCCGCCUGCCAGUGCAGGGGACACAGGUUCGAGCCCUGCUCCGGGAAGAUCCCACGUGCCACGGAGCAACUAAAUCCGUGCGCCACAACUACCGAGCCUGUGUGCCACAACUACUGAAGCCUGUGUGCCUAGAGCCCGUGCUCUGCAGCAAGAGAAGCCACCACAAUGAGAAGACUGCGCACUGCAACGAAGAGUAGUCCCCGCUUGCCGCAACUAGAGAAAGCCUGCGCGCAGCAACGAAGACUCAACACAGCCAAAAAUAAAUAAAUAAAUUUAUUUUUAAAAAUUAUUAAAAGAUAACAUUUCUGUAAGGAGAAAAGUGAAUCCAGAGAGAAGAUGUGGGAGUAAAGAAGCAAAGGCAGUUUCUGCAGUAGGAGAGGUGGUGGCUAAAAAAAUAAUCUGAACAUAGAAAUUGAUUUGACAAGUCAGUACAUUUAAAUCAGUUAUUGACUGUAAAGUAGACACUUUUUUUGUGAUAAAAAAGCUGAAAUAAACACUGAAACCAGCAGUUCCUGAAUGUGUUGGUCUUAGGAUCCCUUUAUACUCUUAAAAACUAUUGUAGGCCCAAAGAGCUUUUGUUAUAUGGGUUAUAUCAACUGAUAUUUGCCAUAUUAGAAAUUAAAACUAGUAUUUAAAAAAUACUAUUUCAUUUGCAAAUAAUAAACCCACUACAUGUUAACAUUUUUUUGAAAAAUAUUUCCCAAGAUAGAAAUUUAAUGAGUGGCAUUAUUUGUACAUUUUUGCCAGUGUCUUUAAUGUGUGGCUUAGAAGACAACUGGGUUCUUAUAUAUGAAUCGGGUAUUCAUUUUCAUGUAUAUAUUAUUAUAGAUGAAUCACAUUAUUCAUAAAUUCUUAUUUCUGAAUUGAAAUACCUGUAGAAAAUUCAGCCUCACACAGACAUGUAGUUGGAGAAGGGAAUAUAUUAAUAGCCUUUUUGCUUGACAGCUUAAAUUUUUUUCUUUGCAACAGAUACUGAGUUGUUUUCCUUGAAGUGACAAGAUCACUUCAUUUUCAAGGAAAUGUCUGUCACAUACCCACGUCUGCAGAGCCAUGGUUAGUCUGUCAGUCGUUCUUCAAAUAAAAAUGAUGUUCUGUGAAAAAAAGUGGCUUGUAAAACUCAAUCACACGAGUGCUUCUCCAAGAGAACCACUGUGCUGUGUGCAGCAGAAGUGCUUUAUGCAUGUUUCCUGUAUCAUCACCCAGACUUUUAAAAAGACAUUUGUGGGUCAAAAUUGAAUAAAAUCAGUAAUUUUUACUGCCUCAUCAAGGGCACUCUUGAGCGUAAUUGGCUUUUUUUUCUGUGAGUGCAUGACAAUGAAGAAUACAAUGACAGCUGGGACAGUUUGGUACCACUGCCCUGAUUCAUGUAAGGCGCCAGCUGUUUUACCCAUCAUUGCUUUCAUAUCAUCAGUACAAAUGUCAACAGAGUGGGGAAAAAGCAACAUCUUAGUAAUAUUAUAAAAUAGCUUUAACCUUGCAGAUUCUUGAAUGGGUCUCGGGAAACACACUCGAAGAACAGCUGCUCUGAUGAGAGAGGACCUCUUCACUAAGAACCUCUUUAUGUUCAGGAGGAAGGCAAACAUAGCUGAAGAAUAUUUAGAAUAAAGGUAAAGUUAAGUAUGCCCUCUAAAAGUAAGAAUAGGGACUUCCCUGGCAGUCCAGUGGUUAAGAUCGCUCCCAAUGCAGGGGACACAGGUUCGAUACCUUGUCAGGGAACUAGAUUCAACAUGCCACAGCUAAGAGUUCGCAUGCCACAGCCUGAAAAGGAAAGAAGAAGAAAAAAGUAAUUACUGAAAGAAAAAGAAGGCAUAUAUAAUUUCCAAACAAGCAGAGCUAUAAAAGGGAAUAUAGAAAUUAUCAAUUCAAUAGAAGGCAGGAGAAAAGAAUCAGAAGGAUAACAAAUAUAUUGAAAACUAUAUAAAGUAGGGAAAUAAGUCCAGCUACAUCAGUAGUCAAAAGUGUGAAUCAACUCUUCUGUAAAAGAUUAGUUUGUCAUAUUGGAUUUUUAAAAAUUCAUUUAUAUGUUGCUUAAAAGAGACAGCUAAAACCUAAUUUUUGAAAAGUGUUGAAAAUAAAGGAGAAAACAAUUCAGGUAAAUACUAAAAGGAAGCUUGUGCAGCAAUAUUAUUAUUCGGCAAAAUAACAUUUAAGGCAAAAACCAUUAAUUAGGAUAAGGAGGGACAGUACCUAGUGGUAAAAGAAAUCUAAGAAGAUACUAAAGUAAAAAAUUAUGUACCUUCCAGUAUAUUCUCUGACCACUGCAAGGAGAAAUUGACAGACUCCCUGGUCGUGGUGGAAAGUUUUGGUGCAGCUCAAUCAGAAAUUAGUAUAGCAGAUUAAAGAAAAAAAAAUCAGCUUACAAAAAACAAAAGCAUUCUUGUACAUGCAUUACAGUUAGUACAUGUAAUGGGAAAAAAACACUAGUAACAACCAACUCAUUCUAUGAUGCUUUUUGCAAGAUUACAACCUUAAUAUAAGGAUGAGCAAGGGUGUUCAAGAAAGAACAUUAGAAACCAAUCUCAGGAGUAGUGAUAAAAACAACAUUCUCACAAAUUUAGCAGUGUACUAAAAUAAUGCAUAAUGGGCAAAGAGGAUGUAUUUUAAAAAUGCAAGAAUUUUUAAAUUCUUUUAAAAUAUAAGUCAUAUUUAUCACUCCUCUGCUCAAAAUUCUUCAGUGGCAAAAUUAAAAGUUCUGCCUUGAGGGCCUUUGCCCCUGUGGUUCCUUCAGCCUACCAUGGACUUUCUUUGAUCUUCCCUCAAAUGUCACUCCAGUGAGCCCUUCCCUGACUAUCCUAGUUAAAUUUCAUUUUCUAGCUAGCACUCCUUACCCUCCUGCUCUGCUUUGUUUUUCUCCAGAGCACUUAUGACUUGUGCUGUAUUUUAUUUUAUUGUUUAUUAUCUGUCUUCCCAAAUAGAAUUUAAGCUUCAUGAUGGCAGGGGUUUUUGCCGGUCGGUUCCCUGCUGUUUUCCCAGAGUCUGAAACAGUGCCUGGUACGUCACAGUCACUCAAUAUUUGUUGAAUGAAUGAAUGACUAGUUCAACAUCAGAAAAUCUACCAACAGAGUAAAAGAGAAAAAUCAUAUGAUAAGCUCAUAUGCAGAAGAAUUUGAUAAAAUCAUUCAUGAUAAGAACUCUUAGCAAACAAUAAAUAGAAACGAAUGUCUUUAACUUGCUGAUGAUAAAAAAUUUAGAGUUAAUGGCAUACUUGAUGGUGAAACUGUAGAAACAGUUACAUCAAAGAGAGAGCCGAGGGCUUCCCUGGUGGCGCAGUGGUUGAGAGUCCACCUGCCGAUGCAGGGGACACGGGUUCGGGACACGGGUUCGUGACCCGGUCCGGGAAGAUCCCACAUGCUGCGGAGCGGCUGGGCCCGUGAGCCGUGGCCGCUGAGCUUGCGCGUCCGGAGCACCCAACGGGAGAGGCCCGUGCACCGCAAAAAAAAGCCGAGACAAGAAGUCGCUGCUCUCACCUAUUCAAUUUUUAAAUUUUACGUCAUAUUUAUUUAUUUAUUUAAUUUUAUUUUUGGCUGUGUUGGGUCUUCGUUUCUGCGCGGGGGCUUUCUCUGGUUGCGGCGAGCGGGGUCCACUCUUCAUCGCGGUGCGCUGGCCCCUCACUGUCGCGGCCUCUCCUGUUGUGGAGCUCCAGACGCGCAGGCUCAGUAGUUGUGGCUCACGGGCCUAGUUGCGGCAUGUGGGAUCUUCCCAGACCAACACUCGAACCCGUGUCCCCUGCAUUGGCAGGCAGAUUCUCAACCACUGCGCCACCAGGGAAGCCCAUCACCUAUUCAAUUUUGUGCAAGGACAAGAAAAAGUACUAAGGGAUAUAAAAUUGAAAAGUAAAAAAAAGCUGUCCUAAUUGUAAAGGAAGUCUACACUAAAUAUUCAAGAGAAUCUACAAACUAUUAAAACUAUUAGAAAGUUCAGCGAGGUAACAUAAAUAUUAGCUUUCUUACAAGUAACAAUAUAUGUAAUAGAAAAAUGAUCCAAUUUAUAAUAGUGACUUAAACCAUAAGCUACUCAGAAAUUAAAGAAAGAUGCAGUGGAAAAUUUUGCAGGAUACUAUUAGGGAAGAAAAAAGUCCUGACGUCAUGGAGAUAGAUUCGUAGAUGGAAAGAUGUAAUAUCAGAAAAAUAUCAGUUCUCUCCAAAUCUAUAAAUUAAACAGUAUGCCUAAUGAUUUUCCCUGGAACUUGACAAUAAUCUAAGAUUUAUAUGGGUGACUUCUCUGGUGGUCCUGUGGCUAAGACUCCACACUCCCAAUGCAGGGGCCCCAGGUUCGGUCCCUGGUCAGGGAACUAGAUUCAACAUGCCACGACUAAGAGUUCGCAUGCCACAACUAAAGAUCCCACAUGCUGCAACUAAGACCUGAUGCAGAUAAAUAAAUAAAUAAAACUUUUUUAUUAAAAAAAAUUUUGUAUGAAAAAGUAAAAAACCUGGAACGUUAAGACAACUCUAUUUUUAAAAAUUAUUUAUUUUUGGCUGAGUUGAGUCUUCGUUGCUGCUCGCGGGCUUUCUCUAGUUGUGGUGAGCGGGGGCUACUCUUUGUUGCAGUGUGCGGGCUUCUCAUUGCAGUGGCUUCUCUUUGUGGAGCAGGGUCUCUAGGCGCGCGGGCUCAGUAGUUGUGGCUCACGGGUUCUAGAGCGCAGGCUCAGUAAUUGUGGCACACGGGCUUAGUUGCUCCGUGGCAUGCGGGCUCUUCCCAGAUCAGUGCUUGAACCUGUGUCCCCUGCAUUAGCAGGUGGAUUCUUAACCACUGUGCCGCCAGGGAAGUCCCUAUUUCUGAUUUUUUGAUGGACCACCAUACUGUUUCCACAGCAGCUGUACCAGCUUACAUUCCCAGCAACAGUUCACAUUUGUUGUUUCUGGGGUUUUUUUGAUAGUGGCCAUCCUAAUGGGUAUGAAGUGUUAUCUCAUAGUAGUUUUGAUUUGCAUUUCCCCAAUGAUUAGUGACGUUUAGUGUCUUUUCAUGUGCUUCUUGACUACUUGUAGAUCUUCUUUGGAGAAAUGUCUAUUCAAGUCCUUCGUCCAUUUUUGAAUCAGGUUGGUUUUUUGUUGUCGUUGUUGCUGUUGAGUUUUAGGAAUUCUCUAUAUAGCCUGAAUAUUAAUCCCUUCUCAGAUGUAUCAUUUGCAAAUAUUUUUUCCCAUUCUGUGGGUUGCCUUUUUACACUUUUGAUAGUGUCUUUUUUUUUUUUUUUUUUUUUUGCGGUACGCGGACCUCUCA